rnacentral:rRNA from 1 species
CCUACGGGGGGCAGCAGUGGGGAAUAUUGGGCAAUGGACGAAACUCUGACCCAGCAACGCCGCGUGAAUGAUGAAGGUCUUCGGAUUGUAAAGUUUUUUUCUAAGGGAAGAAGAAAGUGACGGUACCUUAGGAAUAAGCCUCGGCUAACUACGUGCCAGCAGCCGCGGUAAUACGUAGGCGGCAAGCGUUAUCCGGAAUGACUGGGCGUAGAGGGUGCGUAGGUGGUUUGAUAAGUUGGUAGCGUAACUCCGGGGCUCAACCUCGGCACUGCUUCCAAUACUGUCGGACUUGAGUGCAGGAGGGGCAAAUGGAAUUCCUGGUGUAGCGGUGGAAUGCGUAGAUAUCAGGAGGAACACCAGUGGCGAAGGCGAGUUGCUGGACUGUAACUGACGCUGAGGAACGAAAGCGUGGGGAGCAAACAGGAUUAGAUACCCGGGUAGUC